UCAUCCUGCGCGCCGUCGUCUCGUAGCCAUUUUUCUUUAAUAACAAAAAAAAAAAAACAAAGCUUCGGUAGCGCUGAGAGCCCCUUGCCCCCUUCUCUCCUUCUUCACUCUCCAGAACUCAACUCAACGUCAAGGCCUCCCAACCAAAGAAAAAGUUAAAACCCUAGCCUCAGCCGCCGUUCGUUUGUCCGUCGAUCCACUGCCGCCGUCUGUUCGUCAAACAGAACCCAGAGCCCCAGACUUCAAAGAUUACUCCUGAGAAUGGCUUAUCAGAGAGUGACACUGAUAAACUAUUGUCACUCCUCCAUGAUCAGAUAUGAUCCCAGUUUAUACCUCAGUAUAUGUCUCUACUCGUACGCUUCAAUGUUGUUGAAUUGUUGACCUUUAGGGCAUUUAUUGUGCUGUAGGUAGUGUUGUAGUAAUAUUUAUGGCUAGGAUGAAAUAUUGGUUAGCAAUAGAAUGCUUUGAUAUUUUUGGUUCCUUGGUGUCAAUGCUGAGAGCAAUUAAGAGCAAGCAUGUGUUAUGAUGCCCAAGUUGGUAGAAAGGGAGCCACAAGGUGGAAGAAGUAUCAAGUAUGUAUUAUUGAAUUAAAAGAUUUUUAAAAGCAUGAUUUGUAUAUUAUCUAAAGAAAGUUGAGGUAGGAUUCAAUAUUGAGGUAGUUGAGACCUGAAUGGCAAGAACAAGUUACUUUCCAAGCAUAUUUCUAUGUAAUCUUAUUUUGAAUUCAUGUGUUCUUCCUUCUUUUAAUUCUUUGAAUGUAAUUACUGAUCUUUCUUGGUACCCAGGAGUUUACUAGACAUGUUUCAGUUCAAUUAUUUCCUCACUUCAUUUCAUUUAAUCAUAUAUUCAUGUUCUUUUUCUUUUCC